UACGUAGGGUGCAAGCGUUAAUCGGAAUUACUGGGCGUAAAGCGUGCGCAGGCGGUUUUGUAAGUCCGCUGUGAAAGACCGGGGCUCAACCCCGGGGUGUCAGCGGGGACUGCACGGCUGGAGUCCCGGAGAGGGAGGCGGAAUACCUGGUGUAGCGGUGGAAUGCGUAGAGAUCAGGUGGAACACCGAUGGCGAAGGCAGCCUCCUGGACGGGUACUGACGCUGAGGCGCGAAAGCGUGGGGAGCGAACGGG
rnacentral:rRNA from 1 species